rnacentral:lncRNA from 1 species
AAUGAAGGUGCCCCUCAUGAGGCUUUAUCUUUUGCUCUUGGUUACCUUGGAGUGAAGGAUCUUUUGACUGUAGAAAGUGUUUGUAGGUCCAUGCGACUUACUGUCAAAAAUGAUCCUUUGUUGUGGAGAAGCAUUCAUAUUGAAAAACCAUUGAAUGAGAUCAGUGACGAUGCCCUCUUGCAAUUGACUUUGCGACUUAGUGUCAAAAAUGAUCCUUUGUUGUGGAGAAGCAUUCAUAUUGAAAAACCAUUGAAUGAGAUCGGUGACGAUGCCCUCUUGCAAUUGACUAGCAGGGCUCAAGGUA